GCCUGCAACAUCCCCGCGGAUCGGGAUUCUAUGAGAAUAUUUCUGAAAACUCAAUAGAAUCAGUGGAUUCGCUGCUGGC
rnacentral:ncRNA from 12 species